UUGGGCUCUCAUUGGCCGGUUAACCAUGCACGUGUACAGGUAACCUUGGGCUCUCAUUGGCCGGUUAACCAUGCACGUGUACAGGUAACCUUGGGCUCUCAUUGGCCGGUUAACCAUGCACGUGUACAGGUAACCUUGGUCUCUCAUUGGCCGGUUAACGAUGCACGUGUUCAGGUAACCUUGGGCUCUCAUCGGCCGGUUAACCAUGCACGUGUUCAGGUAACCUUGGGCUCUCAUUGGCCGGUUAACCAUGCACGUGUUCAGGUAACCUUGGGCUCUCAUUGGCUGGUUAACCAUGCACGUGUUCAGGUAACCUUGGGCUCUCAUUGGCCGGUCAACCAUGCACGUGUUCAGGUAACCUUGGGCUCUCAUUGGCCGGUUAACCAUGCACGUGUUCAGGUAACCUUGGGCUCUCAUUGGCCGGUUAACCAUGCACGUGUUCAGGUAACCUUGGGCUCUCAUUGGCCGGUUAACCAUGCACGUGUUCAGAUAACCUUGGGCUCUCAUUGGCCGGUUAACCAUGCACGUGUUCAGAUAACCUUGGGCUCUCAUUGGCCGGUUAACCAUGCACGUGUUCAGAUAACCUUGGGCUCUCAUUGGCCGGUUAACCAUGCACGUGUUCAGAUAACCUUGGGCUCUCAUUGGCCGGUUAACCAUGCACGUGUUCAGGUAACCUUGCACCAAGCAAAGCACCCAUUUCCAUCGGUUCAAUCAAGCAAGCAAGUAUAGCUGAAAAAUUAUUUCAAGCAAGUAUUGCUAUUCGAGCAUUAGAUUACUGUGGCUUAUCUUCAAAUUAGCUCUACACAUGUACGGCUAGCAGGCUAUUGGCUCUUUCUAAUACAACAACCGACAGUUAGACUUUGACGUUUUUUUAG